CAGCAGACACAUUCCAGCCAAUCAGCAUCAGACCCUCCCUCCCAGACCCUCUCACCUCCUGGACAGCUCACUAAGAAUGCAGCUUCUCAAUGAAUGUAAAAUGGAUGCUGUCCAGGAGGUGGGAGGGCCUGGGAGGGAGGGUCUGCUGCUGAUUGGCUGGAACCAUGGCAAAC
rnacentral:miRNA from 1 species